GUCAACGUCGAGAAAUGUGGUGUCUCAGUGAUUUGUAAUCAUCAGGUGGCGGGUUCGAGUCCUGCAGCCGCACCA
rnacentral:tRNA from 1 species